AUUGAACGCUGGCGGCAGGCCUAACACAUGCAAGUCGAACGAGUGGCGGACGGGUGAGUAAUGUCUGGGAAACUGCCCGAUGGAGGGGGAUAACUACUGGAAACGGUAGCUAAUACCGCAUACCAUCGGAUGUGCCCAGAUGGGAUUAGCUUGUAGGUGAGGUAACGGCUCACCUAGGCGACGAUCCCUAGCGGGUCUGAGAGGAUGAUCAGCCACACGGGAACUGAGACACGGACCAGACUCCGACGUGAGGCAGCAGUGGGGAAUAGUGAACAAUGGGGGAAAGCCUGAUGCAGCCAGGCCGCGUGUAUGAAGAAGGCCUUCGGAUUGUAAAGUACUUUCAGCGGGGAGGCGUUACCCGCAGAAGAAGCCCCGGCUAACUCCGUGCAAGCAGCCGCGGUAAUAC
rnacentral:rRNA from 1 species